rnacentral:rRNA from 1 species
GACGAACGCUGGCGGCGUGCUUAACACAUGCAAGUCGAACGGUGAAGGGGCCUGCUUUUGUGGGCCCUGGAUGAGUGGCGAACGGGUGAGUCACACGUGAGUAACCUGCCCCCUUCUUCUGGAUAACCGCAUGAAAGUGUGGCUAAUACGGGAUAUUCUGGGUCUGUCGCAUGAUGGGUCUGGGAAAGAUUGUGCCUUUGGGUGUUUUUGGUGGGGGAUGGGCUCGCGGCCUAUCAGCUUGUUGGUGGGGUGAUGGCCUACCAAGGCGGUGACGGGUAGCCGACCUGAGAGGGUGGACGGUCACACUGGGACUGAGACACGGCCCAGACUCCUACGGGAGGCAGCAGUGGGGAAUAUUGCACGAGGGGCGCAAGCCGGAUGCAGCGACGCCGCGUGAGGGAUGGAGGCCUUCGGGUUGUAAACCUCUUUCGCCAGUGAAGCAGGCCUGCUCCUUGUGGGUGGGUUGACGGUAGCUGGAUAAGAAGCGCCGGCUAACUACGUG